GUGUCAGCCGCCGCGGUAAAACGUAGGAGGCGAACGUUAUCCGGAUUUACUGGGCGUAAAGAGCGCGAAGGCGGUCUUGCAAGUCGGGCGUGAAAUCUCCCGGCUCAACUGGGAGGGGUCGUUCGAUACUGCAGGACUUGAGGACGGGAGAGGGGAGUGGAAUUCCCGGUGUAGCGGUGGAAUGCGCAGAGAUCGGGAGGAACACCAGUGGCGAAGGCGGCUCCCUGGCCCGGUCCUGACGCUGAGGCACGAAAGCGUGGGGAGCGAACGGGAUUAGAUACCCCGGUAGUCCACGCCCUAAACGAUGGAUGCUAGGUGUUGGAUCCGAGAGGAUUCAGCGCCGAAGCUAACGCGUGAAGCAUCCCGCCUGGGGACUACGGCCGCAAGGCUAAAACUUAAAUGAAUUGACGGGG
rnacentral:rRNA from 1 species